AAGCUUAUAGGGCAGAAUUUCCUUUACAAUUGAUCCAUUCCGACAUUUGUGGCCCAAUGAGUGUGAGGGUAAGUGUCACAGCCCAAGACCACACCUAUUUUGUCGGGUCGGGCCGCCGAUAGCGCCGAACGGACAGGGUUUUCUGUCACGCCCCGGGACCCGGCAUAGGCCCGCCCGGUGCGCGCCCAGACCCGCCAUAUGUCUACACAUAUAAGGCGUCUACACAAAAGCGGAAGAGUAAAGCAUGAGAAGAUCUACAACUAGAGAUAUCAGAGCAAGUAUAUAGCUAGGUUCUAACAUUAGGUAGAAUCAAAAGAAAAUCAUACUACUAAGCAUAAAGUAAACUGAUACAUCAUAAGUCUCAAGAUACAAAAAUAGGGUGGUCUCUAUAA
rnacentral:lncRNA from 1 species